rnacentral:tRNA from 1 species
GGCUGAGUGGCGCAACGGUAGCGCGUCUGAUUCCAGCAUGUCAAGAUCUUACCUUGGCAGGGGAGUCUCCAGAAGGUUAUCCGUUCGAAUCGGGUCUCGGUCA